rnacentral:tRNA from 1 species
GGGGUUGUGGCUCAGUGGUAGAGCGCACACCUCACAUGCGCGAGGCACUGGGUUCAAUUCUCAGCACCA